rnacentral:rRNA from 1 species
CGGAAGGUCCGGGCGUUAUCCGGAUUUAUUGGGUUUAAAGGGAGCGUAGGCCGGAGAUUAAGCGUGUUGUGAAAUGUAGACGCUCAACGUCUGCACUGCAGCGCGAACUGGUUUCCUUGAGUACGCACAAAGUGGGCGGAAUUCGUGGUGUAGCGGUGAAAUGCUUAGAUAUCACGAAGAACUCCGAUUGCGAAGGCAGCUCACUGGAGCGCAACUGACGCUGAAGCUCGAAAGUGCGGUAUCGAACAGGAUAGAUACCC